AGGAGCCUGUUCUGUAAUCGAUAAUCCGCGUUUAACCUCACCAUCUUUAGUUAAUCAGCCUGUAUACCUCCGUCGUCAGCUUACCACGUGAGCGCAAAUUAGUGGGCCCAAUGUUAUUACACCAAUACGUCAGGUCAAGGUGCAGCAAAUAAGAUGGGAAGAGAUGGGCUACACUUUCUAUUUUAGAAAAAACGGAAAACUACCUAUGAAACCUAGUUGGAAGGCGGAUUUAGCAGUAAAAAGGAAUCAACACGUCCAUUUUAACUUGGCACUGGGGUGUGU
rnacentral:rRNA from 1 species